rnacentral:lncRNA from 1 species
AUUUAAGUUAUAUUUUCACAUUUUGGUUAUUUGCAAAGCGAAUGUAUAUAAUUAUGUAUAUUGGUUUGUUUAAUUUUUGAAUGACAUUGUGUGACAUAUAUAAUUUUUGUAUGACAUUGCCUGUAUUAUUUAGUAUAGUACUUAAACUCCCACACAACUAGAAAUCCACUUUUUCGAGCUGAAAGACAAUGGCCAGGGCUUACGCAUGACAAUGCACAACGAUGUAAGUCAAUAAGUAAUCGUUUUAAUCAAAGGAUGAUAUAUUUGGGCUUGAAGUGACGAAACCGACCUGCCCCCUUCGUGCAAAUUCGUGCCAAUGAAUUAUUAUUUUUACAAUUCUUCAAGCUCUGUCAAGUUGGUUGUUGAUCAUUGCUAGACAGCCAUUUUCAACUCUUGUCAUAGAUUUCAAGCUAAUUUAAGUCAAAACUGUAACAAGGCCACACAGGAACAUUCAAUGUUGUCUUGGUAAGCAAAUGCAGUGUACAUUUGGCCUUCUGUUUUAGGUUAUUGUCCUGUUGCAGGACACAUUUGUCUCCCAGUCUCUGUUGGAAAGCAGACGGAACCAGGUUUUCUUCUAGGAUUUUGCCUGUGCUUAGCUCUAUUCCAUUUAUUUUUAUCCUAAAAACUCCCUAGUCCUCGCCGAUAACAAGCAUACCCAUAACAUGAUGCAGCCACCACCAUGCUUGACAAUAUGAAGAGUGGUACUCAGUGAUGUGUUGGAUUUGCCCCAAACAUAAUGCUUUGUUUUCAGGAAAAAGUUAAUUUGUUUGCCACAUGGUUUUGCAGUUUUACUUUAGUGCCUUAUUGCAAACAGGAUGCAUGUUUUUGAAUACUUGUAUUCUGUACAGGCUUCCUUCUUUUCACUCUGUCAAUUAGGUUAGCAUUGUGGAGUAACUACAAUGUUGUUGAUCCAUCCUCAGUUUUCUCCUAUCACAGCCAUUAAACUCUAACUGUUUAAAAGUCACCAUUGGCCUCAUGGUGAAAUCCCUGAGCGGUUUCCUUACUUAUCGCUGCCUCAAUUUAUGGAAUAUGCCAAAACUUUGGAGAUAACAAUAGAUACAGGGCUGCCA